GCUGGAUUAGCUCAGUUGGUAGAGCAACUGAUUUGUAAUCAGAAGGUCGCGGGUUCGAACCCUGCAUCCAGCA
rnacentral:tRNA from 1 species